rnacentral:rRNA from 1 species
GGACGAACGCUGGCGGCGUGCUUAACACAUGCAAGUCGAACGGUGAUCCUGGAGCUUGCUCCAGGUGAUCAGUGGCGAACGGGUGAGUAACACGUGAGUAACCUGCCCCAGACUCUGGGAUAACCCCGAGAAAUCGGAGCUAAUACCGGAUACGAGACGCACGGGCAUCUGUAGCGUCUGGAAAGAAUUUCGGUCUGGGAUGGACUCGCGGCCUAUCAGCUAGUUGGUGAGGUAACGGCCCACCAAGGCGACGACGGGUAGCCGGCCUGAGAGGGCGACCGGCCACACUGGGACUGAGACACGGCCCAGACUCCUACGGGAGGCAGCAGUGGGGAAUAUUGCACAAUGGGCGCAAGCCUGAUGCAGCGACGCCGCGUGGGGGAUGAAGGCCUUCGGGUUGUAAACCCCUUUCAGCAGGGAAGAAGCGAAAGUGACGGUACCUGCAGAAGAAGCGCCGGCUAACUAC